GAUACGACCGUACCGCAAACCGACACUGGUGCGCGAGAUGAGUAUUCUAAGGCGCUUGAGAGAACUCAGGAGAAGGAACUCGGCAAAUUGACACCGUAACUUCGGAAGAAGGUGUGCCCUAUUAGUGUGAAGUGAACAACGGAGCAUGAAUGGGUUGCAAAAAAUCGGUGGCUGCGACUGUUUAUUAAAAACACAGCACUCUGCAAACACGAAAGUGGACGUAUAGGGUGUGACGCCUGCCCGGUGCUGGAAGAUUAAAUGAUGGGGUGCAAGCUCUUGAUUGAAGUCCCAGUAAACGGCGGCCGUAACAAUAACGGUCCUAAGGUAGCGAAAUUCCUUGUCGGGUAAGUUCCGACCUGCACGAAUGGCGUAACGAUGGCCACACUGUCUCCUCCUGAGACUCAGGGAAGUUGAAAUGUUUGUGAUGAUGCAAUCUCCCCGCGGAAAGACGGAAAGACCCCAUGAACCUUUACUGUAGCUUUGUAUUGGACUUUGAACAGAUCUGUGUAGGAUAGGUGGGAGGCUUUGAAGCAGGGUCGCUAGAUCUUGUGGAGCCAACGUUGAAAUACCACCCUGGUGUGUUUGAGGUUCUAACCUAGGUCCAUUAUCUGGAUCGGGGACAGUGCAUGGUAGGCAGUUUGACUGGGGCGGUCUCCUCCCAAAGCGUAACGGAGGAGUUCGAAGGUACGCUAGUUACGGUCGGACAUCGUGACGAUAGUGCAAUGGCAUAAGCGUGCUUAACUGCGAGACUGACAAGUCGAGCAGAUGCGAGAGCAGGACAUAGUGAUCCGGUGGUUCUGUAUGGAAGGGCCAUCGCUCAACGGAUAAAAGGUACUCUGGGGAUAACAGGCUGAUACCGCCCAAGAGUUCAUAUCGACGGCGGUGUUUGGCACCUCGAUGUCGGCUCAUCUCAUCCUGGGGCUGUAGCCGGUCCCAAGGGUAUGGCUGUUCGCCAUUUAAAGAGGUACGUGAGCUGGGUUUAAAACGUCGUGAGACAGUUUGGUCCCUAUCUUCCGUGGGCGCUGCAGAUUUGAGGAAGCCUGCUCCUAGUACGAGAGGACCGGAGUGGACACACCUCUGGUGUAUCGGUUGUCACGCCAGUGGCAUUGCCGAGUAGCUAAGUGUGGAAGAGAUAACCGCUGAAAGCAUCUAAGCGGGAAACUCGUUUCAAGAUGAGAUCUGCCGGGGCCUUGAGCCCCCUGAAGAGUCGU
rnacentral:rRNA from 1 species